rnacentral:lncRNA from 1 species
AUGUUCAUGUUUCCUACAGUAAAAGUUUCUGGUGAUAUCACAGAGAGUCUUGUGUGUUCAUUCAGGAGCGGCUGUGGUGAGCUGACACUAAGCCAAGAAUACGGACACCAUCCCGCUGUAGCGGUGAGGUGUAACAUGCAAGUGGAGGAUGAAGAGCUCUUGGGCGCCGGAGGAGGAAGGUCGGAAAGGGCCACUCCCGAGACGGACGCUGAGUUCCACCAGCUGGCGGCCCUGGCGUCAUCCACCGCUUAUGCCCAGCCAAAUGGGGUAACCCAGAGGCGCGGAGUGGUGCGGGGAGACAGCACCGGAGGAGAGGAAGGUUCACCUUCCCCAGGCCCACAAAGGAUGGUGUUUCUGGAGGAGAGGAUGUCGGCGAUGGAGACCACCCUGGCAGUGAUGUCGAGGGCGAUGGAGCGCCUGGCGGUUUUGGCGGAGCCGGAGCGAGGAAGGGAACUCCGGGCUAGCUCAAUGUGGGACGUGAGCAUGGGAAGCAGCCAGGGCUUUGCAGACCUCCCAGCACCGAAGGGAAGGGAAAUGCGAAAGGAGCCCGGUGCCCGGCCCAAGAUCCAAACGAGCCUGACGCGGGUGGAGGAGAGUGACGACGAAGGGGAAAAGCCUCCGAGAAUCCCGGCUACGCUCCCAACUGAGACCCUGGUGCCCCUGGCGAAUGCCGGGCGUGGCACAGGACAAAGGGAAGCAGCAGCGGGGCCCACUGGCCCGCGAGGGGGCUUGCGACGGGCGGAGGAUUGGGGAUUGCCACCACAGGGACCCCUACCGAGACGAGAGGAACUAAGGAUCGAGUUUGGGGGAGAGUCCUCUGAACUGGAUUUUUUCCUGACCACGGUGAGGGGCUAUAUGGAGGACAAUGCCCACACUUUCAGAACGGAAUCCAGCCGGGUACGGGCCAUUGGUGCAGUGUUGAAGAGGGGAGCGGCCAGCUGGUACGUUCAACUACACGCGCGGCGCGACCCAUGUCUGGGGUCACUCCGACGCUUUAUGGGGGCCCUGGAGACCCGUUUCCGAGAUCCACUGGAGCAGAUCCGGGCGAGGGAGGAGUUGAAGACCGUCUCCCAGGGGCAGAGGUCGGUAUCUGAGUAUGCGGAGGAGUUCCAAUGCCUCGCUGAAAAGGUGCCGGAAUGGUCUGCAGUGACAAAGAUAGAACUCUUCAAAGAGGGUCUCAGGCGGGAGAUCCUCUCCUGGGCGGUGCAUCGUGAUGAGCCUGACACACUGCGCGGAUGGAUCAGCUGGCGA